rnacentral:ncRNA from 15 species
AUCAACUUGAGAAAGAGAGCUGCCAAAGGCUCUGGGUUCGUUCUGAGAAUAUACGGUCAAAACUUGAUCUGGAUAAUACCAGCGAAAGGAUCAUGCCUUUCCUUGUC